AAUUUAUAUGGACUAUGGAGGCUGGGCUACAAAUUAAUCUAUAAUAUACAUGGCUUCUCAAAGCCUAAUUGCUGUUAGAACAAGAGUAGGAGACUAUGAUAAUGAGAGUCAAUGAGUACGAGUAUAUAAUAAGGUCAUCCUGCAAUUUAUGCACUGUUGCAUGUAGAUCGAGCACUGCAUCGUAUACAAUGGUUGUACUUCGACAUGUGCAUGGUUAUACUCUAGCUCCUAGUUUAUAUAAUUAUAUUGGCUAUCAUACGAAAAACAUACGUGAGGUUUAAUAUGAGCGAGAUUUGCAAGUUUUGCAACUCUCAUCUAUUAAAUUUUCCAGAUCUGUAUAUAAAAUAAACAGUAAAACAAUUAUUACAUCGUACAUACCAUACAAUCUUU